GCGAAUGGCUCAUUAAAUCAGUUAUCGUUUAUUUGAUAGUACCUUACUACAUGGAUAACCGUGGUAAUUCUAGAGCUAAUACAUGCUAAAAACCCCGACUUCGGAAGGGGUGUAUUUAUUAGAUAAAAAACCAAUGCCCUUCGGGGCUCCUUGGUGAAUCAUAAUAACUUAACGAAUCGCAUGGCCUUGCGCCGGCGAUGGUUCAUUCAAAUUUCUGCCCUAUCAACUUUCGAUGGUAGGAUAGUGGCCUACCAUGGUAUCAACGGGUAACGGGGAAUUAGGGUUCUAUUCCGGAGAGGGAGCCUGAGAAACGGCUACCACAUCCAAGGAAGGCAGCAGGCGCGCAAAUUACCCAAUCCCGACACGGGGAGGUAGUGACAAUAAAUACUGAUACAGGGCUCUUUUGGGUCUUGUAAUUGGAAUGAGUACAAUUUAAAUCCCUUAACGAGGAACAAUUGGAGGGCAAGUCUGGUGCCAGCAGCCGCGGUAAUUCCAGCUCCAAUAGCGUAUAUUAAAGUUGUUGCAGUUAAAAAGCUCGUAGUUGAACCUUGGGCCUGGCUGGCCGGUCCGCCUCACCGCGUGUACUGGUCCGGCCGGGCCUUUCCUUCUGGGGAGCCGCAUGCCCUUCACUGGGCGUGCCGGGGAACCAGGACUUUUACUUUGAAAAAAUUAGAGUGUUCAAAGCAGGCCUUUGCUCGAAUACAUUAGCAUGGAAUAAUAGAAUAGGACGUGCGGUUCUAUUUUGUUGGUUUCUAGGACCGCCGUAAUGAUUAAUAGGGAUAGUCGGGGGCAUCAGUAUUCAAUUGUCAGAGGUGAAAUUCUUGGAUUUAUUGAAGACUAACUACUGCGAAAGCAUUUGCCAAGGAUGUUUUCAUUAAUCAGUGAACGAAAGUUAGGGGAUCGAAGACGAUCAGAUACCGUCGUAGUCUUAACCAUAAACUAUGCCGACUAGGGAUCGGGGGAUGUUACUAUUUUGACUCCAUCGGCACCUUACGAGAAAUCAUAGUUUU
rnacentral:rRNA from 1 species